UACAUGGGGUGCAAACGUUGCUCGGAAUCAUUGGGCGUAAAGCGCGCGUAGGCGGUUACUUAAGUUGGAUGUGAAAGCCCUCGGCUUAACCGAGGAAGUGCAUCCAAAACUGAGUAGCUAGAGUACGAAAGAGGGUCGCGGAAUUCCCGGUGUAGAGGUGAAAUUCGUAGAUAUCGGGAGGAACACCGGUGGCGAAGGCGGGUCUCUGGGCCGAUACUGACGCUGAGGAGCGAAAGCGUGGGGAGCGAACAGG
rnacentral:rRNA from 1 species